AUUGAACGCUGGCGGCAGGCUUAACACAUGCAAGUCGAGCGGAGAUGAGGUGCUUGCACCUUAUCUUAGCGGCGGACGGGUGAGUAAUGCUUAGGAAUCUGCCUAUUAGUGGGGGACAACAUUCCGAAAGGAAUGCUAAUACCGCAUACGCCCUACGGGGGAAAGCAGGGGAUCUUCGGACCUUGCGCUAAUAGAUGAGCCUAAGUCGGAUUAGCUAGUUGGUGGGGUAAAGGCCUACCAAGGCGACGAUCUGUAGCGGGUCUGAGAGGAUGAUCCACCCCACUGGGACUGAGACACGGCCCAGACUCCUACGGGAGGCAGCAGUGGGGAAUAUUGGACAAUGGGCGGAAGCCUGAUCCAGCCAUGCCGCGUGUGUGAAGAAGGCCUUUUGGUUGUAAAGCACUUUAAGCGAGGAGGAGGCUACCUGGAUUAAUACUCUAGGAUAGUGGACGUUACUCGCAGAAUAAGCACCGGCUAACUCUGUGCCAGCCGCCGCAGUAAUAC
rnacentral:rRNA from 1 species